rnacentral:lncRNA from 1 species
GGGGGAAGGAGGCAGCGAGCCAGGGUGAGCUCACCCCGCAUGCAUGUGGCUGGGCGGAGAACAACUCACGUCCAGAUUCCUGGACUGCAGUGGCCCAGCCGCAGGACCGGCCGCUCAGCAGUGGCUCAUGCAAUGGGCCAUUCCCGGGCCUCUGGGUGCAAGCCGACCCAGACUGUCUCCAGUGUGCACAUUCCAUUUUUAGAAUCAGAAAUGUAUACGCUUGCUGUAUGUAAUGGGCCCUGUCCCGUCCAGCCAGGGUUUACAUUUACCUGAAACAGAAGCUGGGCUGUGGAGAGGGUUCAGAAGCUAAAGGUGCCAGAUCCGGUGACCUGAGUUUGAUCCCCAGGACCUACAUGGUGGAAGGAAAGAACCAGCUCUUGCACGUUGUUCUCUCACCCCUACACAUGUACUGUGACAUGUAUGCACUCAUAUGCAUGUAUGUGCACACAUACAAUAAAUUAAUUAAUUUUAAAAAUGAAAACUUUUUUUUAAGCCAGAAAGAAAUUCAGGUACAGUGGCUGUUACUUGCUAAUAG